CAAUGACCUUGGCACAUGGAGGCCCUCACCUGCAGGGAGAGAGACUGGAGCCAAGGGACAGAAUGCGCUGGCCAACCAGAAAAAUGUCCGUGUAUCGUGGAAUCUUCCAUGGAGACUGGAUUCAAAGCGCGUGGGGAUCUGGGUGGGCUGCCUGGCAGAGAAAAGAACAAGCAGAGCUCCCAGUGCAGACAAGAGCAGCUGUGUGUAUCUGGUGCUGCCUUCACCUGGCUGCCACCCCAGCAUCCUCAACCGCAGAUGCCUGCCGUGCUGUCUCCCAUGGAAGCUGCAGGACCAAGGCGUGGGGACCUUGAAUACAAGCAGCAGGGUGCAAAAACACCAGCUUCCUGGGGCAGAGUCACCCUGAAAACCUCUGCUGCCUGCAGUCCCUCUGAACAAGAUUUGCCCAAUACUAAGGGAAAUGAGAGGAAAAACACUGUCAAGACAAAAAGGAGCCCAUAAGGUCGAGGUCAAAGUCAAAGAGUCGAUUCCUCUGGGACAGCAUCCGAGAAAGACAGUUCUAUAGUCUGAACCACAUGAAACUCUGGUCCUGGCCGAGGCUGGUCUUGACCACAGAGUUUUCAGUUGGUCCUAAAAACAUUUACAGCAACUCUGCUUCCCAAGGAAACGAACCUCCAAAGAGGGGCAGUCACCUGCCCCAGGUCAUGCAGCAAAUCAAAGGCAGACCUGUAGCUAGAAUACAGUCUCCUGCCUCCUGGCCCAGCGUCUUUAGAUCUUAGCAAAAGGUGACAGUUUGAAGCCACACUUUGAAGGAAAGAGAGGGAGUGCCCCAGUGAGGGGAGCCCUUCGAAAGCUGGGUAAGAGUUGCAGGCAGUCUUACUUUCUGGUACAGAGGCGUACGUUUCCUUCUCCCUCUGACCCUCUAGGCAAGGCCAAGUGCAGGCCACAAAGUGGCAGAUGCUGCUCAUGCCCCUCUUCCUGGGGUGGGCAGGGAGGCAGGGCAUGGCUGGGUUGGCACUGCCGCCUCUGCUCCAGUCGUUUGCAGAGAGUGGUGGCUGGAGAAGCACAUGAUGCAGCCGUGCAGAGAGGCUGAGAUAAGAAGGAAGAUUGAUCUUUCUGCUGCUUCAAAGAGAACAGAAGCCAUCCUGUCAUCGCUACUGAUCAAAGUCUCUGCAGAGGACGUGUUCUGUGCCUGCCCAGCCCACUGCAGCCCAGGAGAUGGGAGUCCCGCUCCUUGGGAUGCAGAGGUCUCCCUCCAAGCCCUGGUGCAUGUGAGAGACCCCCCCCCCCUUCCCACCAGGGUCUCUGCAGCUCAAAAGCUGAAUGUUCAACUCCAUCCCAGCCCUUGCCCAGGCAGCCCUGCCCAAGUUGAGGAUCUGGCCUGUGGGAUCAUGGUACAGAUGAGAAACUGAGGCAUAGAGAGGUGUCUUGGCCAGUGCCUCAUUGCCGAGACACAAUACCUGACACUCGCAACUUAGAAGAGAGGUCUAUUUUUGCUUACGUUUCCUAAAGAUCUCAGUCCAUGGUUGGCUGGCUCUGAGGCAGGAAGGCAUGGUGGGAGGGUCUGGCAGAGGAGAGCUGCUCACAUCAUGGUGGUCGGGAAGCAGAGAGAGAAGGGAGGAGCUGGAGAGGGAACUAAAUCCUUUCAGGUCACAUCCCCAGGGACCUGCCUCCCCUCACCAGGCCCCACAGGAAGUCAGCUAUAGCCCCCCCUUAUGGUUUAUAGCUACAUGUCCUCCUAAAGCCUCAUACAGUCAUAGUGGGGGCCUUUGGAAGGUGAUUGGACUAUGGGCCCUUAAACAUGUCACGCUUCAUCCACCCAGAUGUGACUUAUCCCUAUGUCAGCAUAAAGAUAUUUUGACAAUUUUUAAAUUUGUUUUUGUUUUUUGAGAUGGUCUCACUCUGCAGUU